AGAGUUUGAUCCUGGCUCAGAACGAACGCUGGCGGCAGGCCUAACACAUGCAAGUCGAGCGCACUUAUGACCUUCGGGUUAUAGGCGAGCGGCGGACGGGUUAGUAACGCGUGGGAACGUACCCUUUACUACGGAAUAGCCUUUGGAAACGAAGAGUAAUACCGUAUACGCCCUUCGGGGGAAAGAUUUAUCGGUAAAGGAUCGGCCCGCGUUAGAUUAGAUAGUUGGUGGGGUAAUGGCCUACCAAGUCUACGAUCUAUAGCUGGUUUGAGAGGAUGAUCAGCAACACUGGGACUGAGACACGGCCCAGACUCCUACGGGAGGCAGCAGUGGGGAAUCUUAGACAAUGGGCGAAAGCCUGAUCUAGCCAUGCCGCGUGAGUGAAGAAGGCCUUAGGGUCGUAAAACUCUUUCGCCAGAGAUGAUAAUGACAGUAUCUGGUAAAGAAACCCCGGCUAACUCCGUGCCAGCAGCCGCGGUAAUACGGAGGGGGUUAGCGUUGUUCGGAAUUACUGGGCGUAAAGCGCACGUAGGCGGAUUGAUCAGUUAGAGGUGAAAUCCCAGGGCUCAACCCUGGAACUGCCUUUAAUACUGUCA
rnacentral:rRNA from 1 species